UGGGGAAUAUUGGACAAUGGGCGAAAGCCUGAUCCAGCCAUGCCGCGUGUGUGAAGAAGGCCUUUUGGUUGUAAAGCACUUUAAGCGAGGAGGAGGCUACUAGUACUAAUACUACUGGAUAGUGGACGUUACUCGCAGAAUAAGCACCGGCUAACUCUGUGCCAGCAGCCGCGGUAAUACAGAGGGUGCAAGCGUUAAUCGGAUUUACUGGGCGUAAAGCGUGCGUAGGCGGCUAAUUGAGUCGGAUGUGAAAUCCCCGAGCUUAACUUGGGAAUUGCAUUCGAUACUGGUUAGCUAGAGUGUGGGAGAGGAUGGUAGAAUUCCAGGUGUAGCGGUGAAAUGCGUAGAGAUCUGGAGGAAUACCGAUGGCGAAGGCAGCCAUCUGGCCUAACACUGACGCUGAGGUACGAAAGCAUGGGGAGCAAACAGG
rnacentral:rRNA from 1 species